AACGAACGCUGGCGGCAUGCCUAACACAUGCAAGUCGAACGAGACCUUCGGGUCUAGGGGCGCACGGGUGCGUAACGCGUGGGAACCUGCCCUUAGGUUCGGAAUAACUCCCCGAAAGGGGUGCUAAUACCGGAGAAGGUCUUCGGACCAAAGAUUUAUCGCCUUUGGAUGGGCGCGCGUUAGAUUAGCUGGUUGGUAGGGUAAAAGCAUACCAAGGCGACGAUCCAUAGCUGGUCGGAGAGGAGGAUCAGCCACAAUGGGACUGAGACACGGCCCAGACUGGUACGCGAGGGAGCAGUGGGGAAUACUGUACGAUGGGCGAAAGCCUGAUAAAGCCAUGCCGGGUGAGUGAUGAAGGCCGUAGGGUUGUAAAGCUCUUUUACCCGGGAUGAUAAUGACAGUAACGGGAGAAUAAGCACCGGCUAACUCCGUG
rnacentral:rRNA from 1 species